rnacentral:rRNA from 1 species
AUUGAACGCUGGCGGCAUGCCUUACACAUGCAAGUCGAACGGCAGCACGGGUGCUUGCACCUGGUGGCGAGUGGCGAACGGGUGAGUAAUACAUCGGAACGUACCUUAUCGUGGGGAUAACGCAGCGAAAGCUGUGCUAAUACCGCAUACGCCCUGAGGGGGAAAGCGGGGGAUCGCAAGACCUCGCGCGAUUAGAGCGGCCGAUGCCUGAUUAGCUAGUUGGUGGGGUAAAAGCCCACCAAGGCGACGAUCAGUAGCUGGUCUGAGAGGACGAUCAGCCAGACUGGGACUGAGACACGGCCCAGACUCCUACGGGAGGCAGCAGUGGGGAAUUUUGGACAAUGGGGGCAACCCUGAUCCAGCAAUGCCGCGUGAGUGAAGAAGGCCUUCGGGUUGUAAAGCUCUUUUGUCAGGGAAGAAACACCGGCUCUAACACAGUCCGGGAAUGACGGUACCUGAAGAAUAAGCACCGGCUAACUACGUGCCAGCCGCCGCAGUAA